rnacentral:lncRNA from 1 species
GGGAAGGUCUGGCAGGCAGCCUAUUCCCACCGCAGGCCGUGGGUCUUAGCAGGCAGUAGCCACCGGGAGUUUUGGGAUGAAAGCCAUCACCCCUUCACUCUCCAGUGCAGGGAUGGGGAUCAGGGAAAACAUCAGGCCUCAGUGCGUGGUCUGGGCAAGCUGGAGGGGAGCAAGACUCAUCAUCAGCUUGCCAGCUUCUGGCAAGACAGCAGGCACAGGAUAGCUGCCCAGCUUCCACAUCGGAAUGCACUCCUUGGCCCAUCCAGUUCCUGUUCCAAGGAUUUUAUAACAUCACUUCAUUAUUUUGGCACCUGAGAAGCGUAAGAGGAUGGAAAACAAGAUCAGCCAUGAGAAAAAGAAGCUGAUUUGAUGCCCCUAAAUCAUGAUUUAUACUCAGAGAUGAAAGGUUUGGAGAUCUGUUCAUUUUUUUAUAUAAUUGCUUAAUAAAACAGUUUCUCUGACUUCUGUAGCUAACAGUUCUACAUCACUUUCUUUUUUUAACUGGCUAAUUUUGUACAUGGUAAGUGUAUUAAUUAUGAACAGAACCAAAG